rnacentral:rRNA from 1 species
AGUGAACGCUGGCGGUAGGCCUAACACAUGCAAGUCGAACGGCAGCACAGUAAGAGCUUGCUCUUACGGGUGGCGAGUGGCGGACGGGUGAGGAAUACAUCGGAAUCUACUUUUUCGUGGGGGAUAACGUAGGGAAACUUACGCUAAUACCGCAUACGACCUACGGGUGAAAGCAGGGGAUCUUCGGACCUUGCGCGAUUGAAUGAGCCGAUGUCGGAUUAGCUAGUUGGCGGGGUAAAGGCCCACCAAGGCGACGAUCCGUAGCUGGUCUGAGAGGAUGAGAAGCAGAAAUGGAAAGGAGAGACGGUCAAGAAGCAUAAGGGAGGAAGCAGUGGGGAAUAUUGGACAAGGGGCGGAAGCCUGAUCCAGCCAUAACGAGUGAGUGAAGAAGGCAUGCGGGUUGGAAAGCCUUUUUGUGGGGAAAGAAAAGAAGCAGGUUAAUAACCAGCUGUUAUGACGGUAAAAAAAGAAUAAGAAACGGCUAACUUCGUG